rnacentral:rRNA from 1 species
GAACGAACGCUGGCGGCGUGGAUAAGACAUGCAAGUCGAGCGCUGAUUACGGGGUAGCAAUAUUCCGUAGUCGGAGCGGCGCAAGGGUGCGUAACACGUGGGUAAUCUGCCAUGAAGUUUGGAAUAACUUGCUGAAAGGCGAGCUAAUGCCGGAUGUGAAAGCUGGGAGGCAUCUCUUGGUUUUCAAAGCUGGGGACCGUAAGGCCUGGUGCUUCAUGAUGAGCCCGCGGCCUAUCAGCUAGUUGGUGAGGUAACGGCUCACCAAGGCUAAGACGGGUAGCUGGUCUGAGAGGACGACCAGCCACACUGGAACUGAGACACGGUCCAGACACCUACGGGUGGCAGCAGUCGAGAAUUUUUCACAAUGGGCGCAAGCCUGAUGGAGCGACGCCGCGUGGGGGAUGAAUGGCUUCGGCCCGUAAACCCCUGUCAUUUGCGAUCAACCGUUGUUAUUUAAAAGAUGACAGCCUGAUAGUAGCGAAAGAGGAAGGGACGGCUAACUCUGUGCCAGCAGCCGCGGUAAUACAGAGGUCCCAAGCGUUGUUCGGAUUCACUGGGCGUAAAGGGUGCGUAGGUGGCGAGGUAAGUCGGAUGUGAAAUCUCGGAGCUCAACUCCGAAACUGCAUUGGAAACUGCCUUGCUCGAGGGUUGGAGGGGGGACUGGAAUACUUGGUGUAGCAGUGAAAUGCGUAGAUAUCAAGUGGAACACCAGUGGCGAAGGCGAGUCCCUGGACAACUCCUGACACUGAGGCACGAAAGCUAGGGGAGCAAACAGGAUUAGAUACCCUGGUAGUCCUAGCCGUAAACGGUGCACGUUUGCUGUAAAAGGAAUCGACCCCUUUUGUGGCGUAGCCAACGCGUUAAACGUGCCGCCUGGGAA